rnacentral:rRNA from 1 species
UGAGAGUUCAAGAGGGCGUGAAACCGCUUAGAAGCAAACAGAUGGACCUGAUGAAAAGCCAGCGGAAUUCAGUACUUUGCUCCACCUCUUGCCAGUGCCAGAUGUCUCACUGGUUGCUGAGCACCGAUGUGGUCAAGGGAUGCAUUUUUCGCUGGUGUGCACUGGAAGCUGUGCUUGUGCUGGAAGAAAACCGGGGAAUGAGGACCAUAUCUGAUGGUGUCUCUUUGCUGGAAAAAGCCUGGUUGCGAGCACAGUCUAACUGUGACACCCGCCUCUACUCUGGUGUGUCUGGAACCUUGCUGAGACUACUGAUUCUUGCUUGCAAGGUUUGGUGUCUUGUAGCGAGGAGAAUGGCGCACGCAGAGAUGGUGUUAUUCCAGUGUUUGUGUCAGCACCCCAUCUGACCCGUCUUGAAACACGGACCAAGGAGUCUAACAUGUGCGCGAGUCAUUGGGUGGUGAAACUCAUAGGCGCAAUGAAAGUGAAGUCCAGUUUGGCUGGAUGAAAUGGGAGCUUCGACUCGUGUCGGAGUGCACCAUAGUCCCGUCUGAUCUGCUUGUCAGACAGGCGGAGAUGGAGCGUACAUGCUGGGACCCGAAAGAUGGUGAACUAUGCCUGAGCAGGAUGAAGUCAGAGGAAACUCU